CUCUGCGUAGCUCAGUUGGUACAACAUUGCACUUGCAACGUCAAAAGCCGUGGGUUCGAUUCCCACGGGGGCCA